GACAUCCUUUCUAUUUUAAAAUGUGAUGAACUUCAUUAUUCCAACAAAAAUCACACAUACUGAGCUUUAGGGGCUGCAGGAUGUCAAAGAGAGAGUCCAGAAAACCUGUUACACCUUCAGUCCCAUUUUUGUUAAGUUGAGGAGACGUUCAACAUUUUUCACUCAUUCCCCUCCCUCCUUUUCUUUCAGCUGAAAUAGUAAAGUAUUUUUUCUUGAGAUAAGAGGAUCGUCAGUCGAUCUUUACUGCACAGACACAAAUAAAGGUUUGAUGUUGGAAGAUUCAGCUUCAUCUGCACAAAUCCUCCUCCUCCUCCUCCUGGUUUUUCUCCUCUUCUUCAUCUCUUUCACAAUCUGUCUUCUCCAAACAUAGACAGCUUGCCUGACCGCCUGGAAUACACAUUUGGAUCUGCUUGUCACUUUACAUCCUCCUCGUCUUCCCUCCUCUUCUCUCUUCCUCAUAAUCUCUCUAUCUGUCCAUCUCCUCCCUUCCUUCAUGCGAGGGCGCCAGUCGAUAGAGACAUCCUGCUUUUUAAUUCAUCUGUCCGAGGGGACCGAGGGAGGACCAAGAGAUCGAGGAGAGGGGAUCUAAAUCUAAAGAUCGGGGGGCUCUAAAUGUAAACAGUGGCACGCAGAGCAGCUUAAGAGGGCUAUAAAUAGAGCAAAAGACCAAGAGAGGGAGCGAGCUAGAUAGAGUGAGAAAGCUUUGCUUACGGAAUAAAAAUUGCUCCCGACAGUCAGGGAUUAGUGCUUCCCUGGAGGAUUUUCACUCCAAAGCUCAAUCUGGGGCGAUUGGGAAAAGCACCAGCCUCAGUCAUCUUAAUUCAGUUAAACCCUGCCCAACACAGAGAGCCAUCAUGCACGCAUGUUCACAUGCAACUACCUCACAGAAGUGUGUGUUCAUGUGCUCUCAUGCUCGGCUGCUGGGAGGAAGGAGGUGCAACAAGAGGGACACAACAACAGAGACGCAUGAAGGAUGUGGUCCACGCCGAGCGAGGGGCUGCAGACGCAGAGCGGUGUGGUUUGGUCAGUCAUAAUUGAAAGAUACACACACACACACACACACACACACACACACACACACACACACACACACACACACACACACACACAGUGAGCCUCAUUACCGGCAGAUUACUCAGCACCUGAUCCUGCUAAGCUUGUUAAACAACACUGUUCUGCAGCAGACACACACACACACACACACACACACACACACUCAGAGCGAGGUGCUAAGAAUAACCCCCGUCGCACAAAACAAAACAAUGGAAACAGCCCAGCUGCUAAAAUCGCUGACAUUCAUUUAACGCUCAGAUUUUAAAGCUUCAGUCAGUGAUUUUUUUCCGGCCACAAGGGGGCAGAAAAACAUCAGAACAAGCAGAGGACUAAGCAGCCAUGUUUUAGGCUUAAGGAGGCUUACAGCGCUAAUGCUAUAAGUUUACGCUACAUAUCAGCGAUGUGGCGGACUGACCUGAUCGGCGUUUACAUUUCUGAUUAUUGUGGAAAUCUCGGAGGGUUUCCAGGCCGAGGUUUGACUCGCCGAGCAGCAGCUGGAGACACGAGGAUUAGGUUGAAGCUGAAGGAAAACUUCCUUGAUAAGAGUGAUUAUGAAAAGAUCAAGUGUUAUCAUGUGAUCGCUAAUGGGUUCUCUAAGGAUGGCAAAACGAUGAAAUGUUGUCUGCCUUGCUCAUCGGCGCUGGAAUUAAACAAUUUGUUGACUUCUUAAAAGUGUUUUUGGAUCAUCUCACGCAGCUGUAAGAAAGAAUUUCAGAGUUGCUAAUAAAAAAGUUUGGUUUAUAAGUUUUCACUUACAAAGUGUGACUUCUAUACACACAGAGGUAUAUUCAGAAAUGACGUAGAGAGAGUGUGUGUGUGUGUGUGUGUGUUCAGGGAAGCAGAGCUGCUGACUUCCUUCUGCUGAGGCGAUACACACAUCUGAGUCCCCACAGCAACACAUUAGCACUCAACUCUACCAUGGAGGAGCCAGUAAACAACCCGUGCGUGUGUGUGUGUUCACAAACUUCUAUCAUCGUGAGGACCAGUUUAAUUGUGUCAUGAAAGUGAGGGCGUUCGACAAAGUGAGGACAGUUCGGACAGAAGUUAGUGGACUCGGGAGUUGAUUCUUUAAGCUACUGAGAUGCUUGACCCAGAGUAACCUGGUUGACGUGCCGCACUACUGGUUUCUUACACGACCAUGAGUCUUUGACGAUCAGUGAAAGUCCAGAUGGUGUUCCUUAAAAACUUUCUUGUGACGAACAUUUUUACUAAAGUCCAUUUUACAAUUGACAUCGAGCAACACUGAACAAACAAACAAAGACAUCGGCAUUUAGCGCCACAGUGGUCAAAAACCUUUGCCUGCCCACAACAGUGACAUAGCUACCUUUAUUCCUGAGCCCCAGAUAACAAGACAGCGACACCUAAGGCAUACAAAGUGAACUGCAACUUAUUUUAUGUUAUCACAUCAACAUAUUUGGCUCCAGACCAACAGUCUGGGGGAGGAAACCAUCUUAGUGUCAGCUGGUUCUGGUCUACACUGAUCUGUAAUGCCUACCUGAGGGGAGGAGAUUAAACAGUUUGUGUCCUGGGUGUGAGGGUUCUGCAGUGAUCUUACCUGCUUGUUCUCUGACCUGGGACCGAUAUAAGACCUAGAUGGAGGGAUGGUUCAUGGUCUUGAUUGUCUGUUGCCAUCUGUUGGGGACCCAAACCAAACACUGAUGGAUGUGCAGAGGACAGACUGGGUGAUGGCGGCUCCUGAAGCAGGUUGAGUUUCCUGAGUUGUUGCAUUGUGAAGAUGAGUAUUAUUCAUCGUUUUUUCAGCUGAUGAGAGAGGUAGACUUGGACUACAUUUACACAUGCACAGCUAUUUUCAUAACAUUGACAAAGAAAAAACUGCGUGCACAGCACUACGUUUUCAGAAAAGGUUUUGUUUACACUAACCCGUGUAUAUUUGUCGCCAAAAGCAUGCCAAACCUGUAGGUUGCAGUGUAGUGAGAAACUCAAGCCCACGUUAGCCAAUAAGAAUCGCGCAUAGCAGCAACAACAACGUCACCUCCUUCUUUUGGAAAAGAUGUAAAUGCAAACAAAUACAAAGGGAUUGCACCAGCAUAAAUGCGACUGCUAUUCUGCAUGCAUCCAUGAUCACCAUAGGUUGUAAACAACGUCGCAUUUAACAUCGGCCUCCCAAAAUCUCCACUUACCUCAGUUUUUCUCUGUUUACAUGCAAACGAGCGAACCAAGUUUUCCAAAGUCUCCACUCUCCAUGCUGGUGUUUUUAAAAAGCAUCGUUUUCAGGGGGGAAUUCUCCAUUUGCGUCUAAAUGAAGGGCGCAAACGAUGGUUAAUGUCUCUGUUUUUAAAAAUAACCGGGUACAUAUAAAUAUGGCCUGAAAAUUUCAAAGUUUUGGAAAGAGAAAAAAUUUAGUAAAAGGACGAUUAGUUUUUGAAAAUUGAGGAAGUGCAGAUGUACAAGAAUGUAAAAAUGUAAAGGACACUCAAGGACGACUAAAGGAUGCAGAGAAGACAAGUUGUUAGAUUAUGGUCUCGUACAGAUUUGCUGUUUGGGUUUCUAUCUAUGGUUUGCAUUAACAAUAACGGUUUUAAGCAGUCUUAAAACUCAAAGUAUCUUGUGCACAAAAACUCGAACAAGUGCUCUGACGGCCUCCCUUUACGUUGUUUCUCUUCAAUCGUGCAACUUUCUAACUGUAUGGAGAAAAAAUCCAGGAGACUUCCAGGUCAGGCGUUGGAGGAAUCAUGCCUCAAAGUUAAUUCACUUUCACUUUCAGCGUUUGCCAAACGGAUGAAUAAAAUACGACGCUGCGGCUCGUGAAGGAGGAGGGGAAGAGUCUCUAAUUGGAAUUUCUGUCGAGUGAAAGAGGAGAGUUGCGGGGAGACAAAUUAUUCACAUUCACACUCACGCUGCACAUUUAAUCAAGUUGCUCCAUUAGGCAGCCCGGGGUGUUGGCGUUCGCUCCGUCCCUCAUGAUGCGGGAACAAGAACAUCUACACUGAUCGAAAGAGGACAAAACUGCUCUGUGCAGUCAUUUGCCUUUUAAAUAUUCCUCUGUUUAUACAGAUUUGCACGGCUUUUUUUUCAUGAUACGCUGUUCCCCUGCAUCUUAUUUUCCUUCUCUUUAACGAGCCUAACAGCUACAGAAAUACAGAAAGUCAAACACGCGGCCCGAGGUGAUAAUUCUGAACAAAUACUCCUGAUAUAUUUUCAAAUGUUUGCACAAAAUAAAGCCGACAAACUUCUGGGAAAUUAGCUCGACUGAUUCAACCCUCCAAGUCACACAGACGCGCAGUGAGACACAGGCCUCUGUCUGUCAGGGUCACAUGUGGGCGCACAGCUCAUAAAAGUGGUGCAGAGAGGGAGAGCGGGCGGGGGAGGGGGGAGAUGGGGGUUAUAGCUGACCUGACGCUGCAGCAGGUGACACAGUGACAUUGAUGGAGAUAUUUACCUUCAACUCUGAAGACAGGAGGAUGCUGUCCGCUCUUUUCAUUGCAGCAGUCAGUCCAGAAACCUGUGAAGCUCAUCCUGCGUCCAUUUCUACACGAGUUUUUUUUUCAUCUCUGCUCAAUAAUUCACAUUUUCGACCGCGUUAGUCCGUGUUUGUUGUCCCACUUCCAGUAUAAAAGUCUGAAAUAGCUCGGGUUUUAGUAGCUGUUGAGAUAAUGUUCCCUCCACCUCUGCUGACUGAUGGGGUCAGUGUGUCUGUGGGAUAAAAAAUGUGUAUUUCCUGACACAUUACACCCUGACCUACAUUUUUCAUUUUAUUGCAUUGCUUUUCUUCUCCACUUUAUUCCUCCGCUCUCUCCGCUCUGACAGGCCGAGUUGGCAGUGCAACUCAGAUUGGUGUGAAAUCGCCGCCUAACAGGCGGGAAAUUGGCUCUGUUAUUUUUGGAGCAGAGUCAUGGGGGACCGUCGGACCAUCAUCCACUCUCUAAUGAGCAGGUGAUGGAGGCGUAGCUGGGGAAGGAGGGAAGCCUGGCAUCUGAAAACACGCCGUAGAUGAACAGAUGAGAGCGGCGAGGGAAACGACGCCGAGAGAAACAGGAGGACGAGACGGUGCGAGGAGGAGAUUUCAUGUGGCUCAUAUGAAAAUCAUCAUUAGAUUAGCCGAAUAUUAAUAACCUCUGUUGACAUCCGCCUCUGCUGCAAAUGAGUGUUAACAGGGCCGGACUUGGCCUGCACACUGUGUGUGUGUUUCUGAGCUGAUGGAUUCUGGGGGUUGGGCUGACUGUGGCCACGAAAGAAGUGUCAGGAACAAUAUCAUCUGCAGCCAAAGCGGAACAUCCACCAUAGCAGAGGAGCGUCCCCCGUCCUUUUUGGUCUGAUACACAGUCACACACUGUGGAGCUGAGAGCUUAACGCACCAAACUCCAGAGAAAAAAAACAGAAAAAUAAAGCUGCAAGAAAAGACGAACACAGACAGUGUGAUGCUUUCACGCCACAAAAUUAAACCGGUUUGGUUGAGCUGCAUGUCUUUGGUGUUUCAGUUUAUUCAGUAUGUUCAAGAUUUUAAAGAACAGGAAGUUCUAACCCUAACCCUAGUGCUUAAUCUAGCCCCAACUGUGGCCCUGGCCCUAACCCUAACCAUUAUGAGGGCCCUAACCCUAACCCUAGCGCCAUCUAGCCCCAACCGUGGCCUUAACCCUAACCCUAACCCUAGCCCUAGCCUCGGAUUCUAACCCUAACCCUAACCCUAACCCUAGCAGGGGAAUAAAGGGUUAAUAUUACAAACUAAAUACAGCCUUAAAUUAAGUUAAAUAAAACUAAAUAUCCGAGAGAAAAUCAGUUAUUUUCUUCACCAAAGGGUAUAAAAGGGAAAACAGGACAGGGAAUAUUCAUUUUCAUUUGGAUGCUGACUGGGUAAACCCCUAUGAAUUGGGGCCCAGCAGCUAUGAAAUUUAUGUGUGCAUAGACCUGAAGAAGACCAAACUAGGUCGAAACGUUGUCGCGAUGCACACCAACUGUACAUAGUUCAUGUGUUGAUCAUGUACCUGUUUGUUUGUUUGUUUGUGUGUUUGUGUGUAUAAAAACAAUUAAUAACCUAAAAAAGAGAUUAAUUAAACAACAAUCAUGUUACACAACACACCAAAACUAAAUCAAAUACAAACCUUAAACACAAAUUAGUGAUCCAUGGGGGCCGGGGGAGCGUGUCCAGUGGGCGAAGGCCCGUGCAUUCCCCGCUCCCCGCAGACCCAAGUAGGGUCACUAUAGGGGAGACGGGAUUAUUUCCCCUCACCUUACCAGCCAGUGCCUCGUCCAUCGCGGGUGCGUUUCCUCGGUCCCCAACCUGCAAAGCCUAAAUAAA
rnacentral:lncRNA from 1 species